UACGUAGGGUGCGAGCGUUGUCCGGAAUUAUUGGGCGUAAAGAGCUCGUAGGCGGUUUGUCACGUCUGCUGUGAAAUCCCGAGGCUCAACCUCGGGCCUGCAGUGGGUACGGGCAGACUGGAGUGCGGUAGGGGAGACUGGAAUUCCUGGUGUAGCGGUGAAAUGCGCAGAUAUCAGGAGGAACACCGGUGGCGAAGGCGGGUCUCUGGGCAGUAACUGACGCUGGGGAGCGAAAGCGUGGGGAGCGAACAGG
rnacentral:rRNA from 1 species